rnacentral:rRNA from 1 species
AGUGAACGCUGGCGGUAGGCCUAACACAUGCAAGUCGAACGGCAGCACAGUAAGAGCUUGCUCUUACGGGUGGCGAGUGGCGGACGGGUGAGGAAUACAUCGGAAUCUACUUUUUCGUGGGGGAUAACGUAGGGAAACUUACGCUAAUACCGCAUACGACCUACGGGUGAAAGCAGGGGAUCUUCGGACCUUGCGCGAUUGAAUGAGCCGAUGUCGGAUUAGCUAGUUGGCGGGGUAAAGGCCCACCAAGGCGACGAUCCGUAGCUGGUCUGAGAGGAUGAUCGGCCACACUGGAACUGGGACACGGUCCAGACUCCUACGGGAGGCAGCAGUGGGGAAUAUUGGACAAUGGGCGCAAGCCUGAUCCAGCCAUACCGCGUGGGUGAAGAAGGCCUUCGGGUUGUAAAGCCCUUUUGUUGGGAAAGAAAAGCAGCAGGUUAAUACCCCGCUGUCCUGACGGUACCCAAAGAAUAAGCACCGGCUAACUUCGUG